CUCCGCGUACUGCUGAGACCUGUCUGCUGCAGCAGUCUCACUCCCUGAUCACGGAAAAGCCUAUUCUUGUUUAUGAGCAGAGCAGUCAUUAAGCUGUUACCAGAGUCUGACUUGCACAAUCAACCUCC
ensembl:snoRNA